rnacentral:rRNA from 1 species
AUUGAACGCUGGCGGCAGGCCUAACACAUGCAAGUCGAGCGAGCGGCGGACGGGUGAGUAAUGUAUGGGGACUGCCCGAUAGAGGGGGAUAACUACUGGACACGGUGGCUAAUAGCGUAGACUAUAGGGUAACCCAUAUGGGAUUAGAUUGUAGGGGGGGUAAAGGCUCACCUAGGCGACGAACUCUAGCUGGUCUGAGAGGAUGAUCAGCCACACUGGGACUUAGACACGGCCCAGACUCCUACGGAGGCAGCAGUGGGGAAUAUUGCACAAUGGGCGCAAGCCUGAUGCAGCCAUGCCGCGUGUAUGAAGAAGGCCUUAGGGUUGUAAAGUACUUUCAGCGGGGAGGCGUUACCCGCAGAAGAAGCACCGGCUAACUCCGUGCCAGCAGCCGCGGUAAUAC